rnacentral:rRNA from 1 species
CCUACGGGGGACAGCAGUGGGGAAUAUUGGACAAUGGGGGGAACCCUGAUCCAGCGACGCCGCGUGAGUGAAGAAGUAUUUCGGUAUGUAAAGCUCUAUCAGCAGGGAAGAAAAUGACGGUACCUGACUAAGAAGCCCCGGCUAACUACGUGCCAGCAGCCGCGGUAAUACGUAGGGGGCAAGCGUUAUCCGGAUUUACUGGGUGUAAAGGGAGCGUAGACGGCAGCACAAGUCUGGAGUGAAAUGCCGGGGCUUAACCCCGGAACUGCUUUGGAAACUGUGCAGCUAGAGUGCAGGAGAGGUAAGUGGAAUUCCUAGUGUAGCGGUGAAAUGCGUAGAUAUUAGGAGGAACACCAGUGGCGAAGGCGGCUUACUGGACUGUAACUGACGUUGAGGCUCGAAAGCGUGGGGAGCAAACAGGAUUAGAUACCCGGGUAGUC